rnacentral:rRNA from 1 species
GAGUUUGAUCCUGGCUCAGAUUGAACGCUGGCGGCAGGCCUAACACAUGCAAGUCGAACGGUAACAGAAAGCAGCUUGCUGCUUUGCUGACGAGUGGCGGACGGGUGAGUAAUGUCUGGGAAACUGCCUGAUGGAGGGGGAUAACUACUGGAAACGGUAGCUAAUACCGCAUAACGUCGCAAGACCAAAGAGGGGGACCUUCGGGCCUCUUGCCAUCGGAUGUGCCCAGAUGGGAUUAGCUUGUUGGUGGGGUAACGGCUCACCAAGGCGACGAUCUCUAGCUGGUCUGAGAGGAUGACCAGCCACACUGGAACUGAGACACGGUCCAGACUCCUACGGGAGGCAGCAGUGGGGAAUAUUGCACAAUGGGCGCAAGCCUGAUGCAGCCAUGCCGCGUGUAUGAAGAAGGCCUUCGGGUUGUAAAGUACUCUCAGCGGGGAGGAAGGGAGUAAAGUUAAUACCUUUGCUCAUUGACGUUACCCGCAGAAGAAGCACCGGCUAACUCCGUGCCAGCAGCCGCGGUAAUACGGAGGGUGCA